rnacentral:rRNA from 1 species
GUGUUGUGUUGUAAGGGCGCAUGGUGGAUGCCUUGGCAUAGUAGGCCGAU